GUGAAAUCCAAUUUGAAUUGAUCUUAAUACAGGAUUUCUUAUUAUAACACUAUAAUAUUGUAUCUUAAGUGUAUACAUUGAACAACAGUCUCUGAAAACAAUGGCCUUUCAAAACGCUUUCUACAUUUUCCAUAGAAGGAAAGUCAGUCCAUCUUUAAAUAUUUUACGGAAUCUCUGACCACAUAUACUUUGUUAGAUCUGUGUGUCACAUGGUGGUUUGGAGUUAUUUGUUUUCGUAUUUUUGAGUUAUAUGUAAACAUUUUAAUGUGCUGGUUAAAUGUAUAGUCAAAUGCAAGAGAAACAUACUAUAUGUUGUUUCUUCAUUCAUACUAACAAUUUCCUUGAAAACUCCUACAGUGUUUAAUUUGGAGGCAGCUUUAGACUAUUCUAUUGGUGAAAACUACUUGCUGAGCUGUUUUAAUAGGUAAUAAUGUCAGAGAAGCAGACUCAGUAUAUUGUAUUAUAUGCUCUUAUAUAUAAUUAUCCUAAAGAACUCAAAGUAAAACAAUGGAAAUAUAUAUGGAACUAU
rnacentral:lncRNA from 1 species